AGGCUUGGCAGACGGGGCUCCGGGCUGAUGGAGACUCAGGAGACUGCCCUUUCUGUUUGUUUGAAAGCGCAGCUCUGCCCGUACCUACCGGCCAGGCUGUGCUACCUUGGGCACUUAAUUCCCUCUCAGGACCUCGGUCUCAUCAACUGUAAAAUGAAGGGAGUGGACCAGGCGAUCCUCCAACUCUCUGAUUCCAAGGAAGGACGGAGCAGCGUGGGAUUUUGUGGAUAAGUUGCUGAGGGUGGGGACUCCCAGAUAGAACAAAACCUCUUCCAGAGGGGACAGGAGGCUUUGCAGAGUGGGUGGGUGACAAGGCUGCCUCCCCACCCAGCUGCUGCUGCUCCUAGACCUGCUUCAGCCACAAGGCCCGGGCAGGUGCGUGGGCUUGGGGAGUUCGGGGAGCAGCGUCCCUCCCCAGACCCGGCAGAGAGGAGCCCAGAUGCUCAGCAAAGCUGCCCUAAGAUGCAGCUCGUGUCCGGCUGCUUCAGCCCCCUUGGGGGGUUCCCCUCCUUUCCCAGCUGCCCUCUCCCCAGCAAGGUGUAGCCCACAGGAGCUGAAUCCAGGGACAGGGUGGUGGGUGACAGCGGGAGGUCAGCCAGGGCUCUGGGCCGAGAGCCGGGAGGCAAGAUGGCAGCCCCAGCAAAGAGGGCAGCGCAGCCUUGGGCUCCUCACCUCGGCAGCCACACCACACCCGCGCUGGGCCUCCCGGAGACCUCACACUCCUAGUCACAGUCACCAGAAAGGCCUCGGUUCACAAACAUCCUGCUCUAGGGCUUUAGGAAUAUUUCCCUGUACCUUUAUUAGCACUCAGCUCCAGACUUUUCUAAAUAUGUGAAAUCGAUGUCAAUGAUUUUAUACCUAUUUUAUUUGAAAUGCAAAUACUCACACACAGAUUAAGAGGACCCAGAAGUCCUUCACACAGUGAACACUUACUGAGGGUUUACGGUGCCAGUCCUGUGCCAGGCCUAGAGGACACAGGGCCUGUGCUCUGCACUCGCUCAGGGUGACAGCAGGAUCCAUGGGCCCUGGAUGGAAGAGGUUCAGGGAGGGCCCCAGAGAAGGGAAUCUUGACCGGCAGCGCUACAGAGUUCUGGCCACCUGAAGGAGAGGGCAUCUCAGGAAAGGGAGCAGCCCAGACAGAGGAGAAGGCUGGCAUGGCGAGGAGUUGAUGGUGGUCAAAGCAGGGAGUUGACGAGGAAAUGUUCCUUCUCCUGCAGUCUUCACACUUACAAUCAAUUACUUGUACAAGUGUCUGUUUACUGUCGGUGUCCCCUGCUAGAUGACAAGCUCCGGGAGAGGGAAGGGUGUGCGCUAUGUUCGCGGCAGGACAGCGGUCCCCACCACAAUGCCUACCGCAUAGUGAGUGUUCAGUUAAAUUGGCGCUAAGUGGACAAAUACAUGAGAAAUAUUUCUGGUGUGAAUGUGGGUUCGACUAGAAAGGGCUGUGAAGCCAUGCGAAAGAGUUUGGACGUUAUCCUAAGGGCAACAGGGAGCCACUGAAGGGUUUAAAGAGGGGAAUGACCUGGUCGGCUUUGUGUUCAAGGAAUACCUUUUUGGCUUUGGUCUGGAGAAUGACUGGAGCAGAGUCCAGGUGGCAAAGGGUGGCGACCUACACUCAAGAUGUGGCUGUGGGACGAGGGGACGGCACAGAUUGGAGAGUUUAAGGAGGUGCUACUCCACGGGUCCGGGGAGUGACUGGGUGGAAGGAGUGAGGGAGAGCGAGGUGGCAGCGAGGGCACCCAGCCUUCUGGGUUUGGCAGGUUUACCACCAACGUCCCGUAGGACCGUUUGCACACCCCAUCGUUGUCCUGACCUCAGGGCACUGUUACGGUUUAUUCUCUCUUUGUGUGACUCUCUCCUAAGCAGGUGUGAGACCCAGAGGCCCAGGGCCAGGCCCUAUUUGGCUUUGCAUCCCUCGUGCCCAGCACAGAGCCUGGCGCAUAAUUAUCUGCUCAGUGGGCGUUUGGUGGAUGAAGCUCUGAUUCGAAGUUGAGGAGGAGCAGAGCCUGGCGCCGGGCACCCCCUCCCACCCGGCAGACAUGAGCUUUCCUGACCUGGACCUGUGGGCCCUGCGCCUGCCCAGCUCCCAGCCUCUGGACACCUACGCUGGCGGUCCCCAGAACCAGGAAGUUUGAGUGGUGCAAUGACCUUCGCCUUUGAAGAUGUGAAAUCCGGUUGCUCUCAGAGGGUAUUUCCAAGGAAUCCACUUGGUGCUCCGACAGCCCCAGGGCAGCCUCACCCCAGCUUUCCUGCCUUUUGGGUGAAUCAUCUUACCUUCCCCUACUACCUGGCUGAGAGAGUUAUGCUGAGAGAGUAAGAAUCUGCCUGCGGGAGAAGGGAAGUUGUCACAGGGGUCCACCUUCAAACUCAGCUGACUGUUGGUCAAAGGCAAGUCCUGGUCCAGCAAGGAGUCGUCGUCGGCCUGGAGGGCCGGGUGCGCCCCGUUAAUAGGCCUUUCCGGGGUUUCAG